UCUAUCAUAAAAGAAAACUCCCCCACCUAGCCGCCUCCUUCCUCCCACUCUGCCCCCACGACCCCCACCUUCCUCCCAAAGUCCCAAUCCACCCCGACCUCCACUGCCUUCUACCGCCGGCCGGGACAGCCAAGGGCCGGGCCGCCGUCCGUGGAUCUCCGCCGCCCUGCACUGCUUCUACUCCCUGCCUCGCGGAACCUUCUCCCCUCGCCCCCACCUCCCACCCCGGGCGCAUCAAGCGCCGCCGCUGACCACCAGUAGCCGCGCGCGCCGCCCAGCCACCUCCAACCCCGGGUGAGCGCCGCCGCCGAACCACCAGUAGCCGGGUCAACCACCACGCCCAGCUUGGCUUCCUCCCCUGGUCGCCCGCCCCCCCACCCGGCCGAGCAAACCACCAGAUCCAUCGGGAUCCUCAUCUACUCCUGUGCCUGCCCCGCGAUGGAUCCGCAUCCUCCGCUGCGGCUUCCCACGCCAGCGCGCCCUAGUGGUUGCCAGAUCCGGGCAUCUCCUUGUUCCCCAGGUCACUGCCCCGCCUCUUCUAACUUCUCCCAUCGCGGUGAUGACGAAGUCCACGCAGGGGCGUGGCUAAGGCCACCCUGCCCAUGCAACUCCAACUACAUCGACGGGAGAUUGCACCUCAUGGUGGACGACGACGAGUGCCACAACGUCCGUGUGCAGUGCACAACCGCUGCACUGCAGUCCACCUUCCCAAGUGCGCCACCGUGAGAUCCACUGCUUGGGUGUCCCAAAAAAACCAGAUCCGGCGCCACCGCGUGAGGAACGUCGUCGUGGUUUACAUCAGUGUAUCUUGGCUGCUUCACCAUAGAUGAAGGAGCCCCUGCGGCCAAAAUGUUCACCGUCGCCGUUCGUAGAUGCCUCUGUGUCCGUGUGCAGUUUGGUUAAAUAUACUCUUGUGUACCAUGCCUUAUCAAGUUUUUUUGCCUUUGUUGCAGAAGAAUAAAUCUGCUAAGGAAGUUCUGUUGGGGCAAGAAAAAUCUACAGGAGGAAAUGCUACCAAGGUAGUUGCGUUGCAGCACAACAUGGUCUUCUGAAUGUCAUGUUUAUAGAACUCAUGCUUAGAAGAUUGUCAAAUUUUUUUGAAGAAAAAGAAGUCAUGUGCUUCUGAAUAUCAUGUUUACCGCAAUCUAGCUUAGCAGAUUAGUCUGAAAAACCUUUUAAGAGACAAAAAACUAGUAAUGAGCUCCAAUCGAACUUAUGGUGAUGUUCACAGGUUCGGUGUUGUUUGACUGAACUUGAACAAUUAAUACCAGUACCACAGGAGAGCCUGUACAUUUUAAUGUA